rnacentral:lncRNA from 1 species
CCCUUCGAGUCGUUCUUCCAGCUGGCUUCUGACCUCUUACACAAUGGCAUUUGUAGCCUGCAACGGAAUCAGAAAAACAAAAUAUUAAACGUGUACUCCUACCACCUAAAUGAUAGUCAUUACUGGUUUUGGUUGCCAUCUCUAAUUGAUGCAUGCAGAUCCAAAUAUAUAAAAUAAAUGAGAGCAGCGACGGAGAGAUUGUACAGAUAAAGUUUCCAUGAUUCAUUGGCAGCGGCUUAGAUGGCGGCAAGCCAGCGAGUGGACAGAGGCACGAUGUUGGCAUGGACUUCUCCGGAGCAGCAGCAACAGCUGAUUGAUCAUUUACAGAGAUUGUCACUGCCAUUGAAAGUUAAUAAAAGAGAGUCAUGCUUGUGCAUCCUGUAUAUAGUUGGCUAUUUUAUAGAACUAUUGAUCAUUUUCACCUUUCUUUUAGAUCCGCAUAGAAUUUUCCAACAUAUAGCCAUAUAGUUGCGGCAGAAACAGGCAAAUUUAACACAAAAAAUUAUUCAGAAUUAGACUAGUCAACGGCAUUGUGAGCAUACUCUAAAUGAAUCAGGCUUCUCCCUGAUCGAAAUCCACUAUACCAUCUGCCAGUCUAUUCAAUUCAGUUAACGGAGUCCUGCAGAACCUUGUCGAAAAGGUAUCUCCAUUGUGAAAAAAAUAACAUGGAUCAGAUGCCACUAAAAAGCUUUUUGUUUGAACAUAUACUAGAAUGGCAUAAAACAUGAGAACCAUAACUAGAUUGAUUUUUUAAAAUUGAUGAUUAGAAUAAUCUUGGCAAUAAACAAUUUACAGCCGCUACAGUUCCUGGUGUCUCAGUAAGAUAAACUAAGAUCAGAUAAAACAAGUAAUCCCAAUUCAAGUAUCGAUGCAUCCAAAUAACCAGACUAUUGCAUUAGCACACGAAACUUGCUUGUAAUCUGAGCACGAAAAUUGGACUCCAAGGUUGAGAACCAGGCUCAAUGUCUGAAUGAGAUCAGCAAGUCAGAGGGGAUUUUCGGAAGGGAGAGGGAGGCAACCUGUAUGUCCAGCCACCGCCACCUAGGAUAUCAGAAAAUUCCUGCAUCUGUUCCUCCUAAUGGAAGAUGUUGUCCACUGCGGCUGAUCCCCAGGGGUAUCAGCUGGUGAUAUACCAUUGACCUGAAAAGAAAACGACAAUUCAACUGAGCAAAGAUAGUGAUGCUACAAGAAAAAAAAGGAAACCUGUGUACAUGAGUAAACAUUGCAAAUAUUUACAAGAACAGUUCAUGUGCAGG